rnacentral:hammerhead_ribozyme from 1 species
ACCAUUCUGACGAGUGCCAAAUAGCACGAAACUCGGGUCCAGGGU